rnacentral:lncRNA from 1 species
CCUUUGGAACAAUCUUCCUAGCCAUCUAAGACAUGAACACUCAAUCGAACUUUUUCAGAAAAAUUUGAAAACCCAUUAUUUUAGACUCCCUUUCAAUGAUUACAUUUAACUUUUCAUACUAACAAUGACUUUUUUAACUUUGUUCUUUUCCUUUUAUUUCAUUCUUAUUGCAUUGAUUGUUUUAAUGUUUAACACCUCUUUUAACUGCAUUGAU